rnacentral:rRNA from 1 species
GAAGGGUGCAAGCGUUACUCGGAAUUACUGGGCGUAAAGCGUGCGUAGGUGGUUUGUUAAGUCUGAUGUGAAAGCCCUGGGCUCAACCUGGGAAUUGCAUUGGAUACUGGCAGGCUAGAGUGCGGUAGAGGAUGGCGGAAUUCCCGGUGUAGCAGUGAAAUGCGUAGAGAUCGGGAGGAACAUCUGUGGCGAAGGCGGCCAUCUGGACCAGCACUGACACUGAGGCACGAAAGCGUGGGGAGCAAACAGGAUUAGAUACCCUGGUAGUCCACGCCCUAAACGAUGCGAACUGGAUGUUGGGAGCAAUUAGGCUCUCAGUAUCGAAGCUAACGCGUUAAGUUCGCCGCCUGGGGAGUACGGUCGCAAGACUG